rnacentral:rRNA from 1 species
GCGUGCUUAACACAUGCAAGUCGAACGAUGAAGCCUAGCUUGCUAGGUGGAUUAGUGGCGAACGGGUGAGUAAUACGUGAGUAACCUACCUUUAACUCUGGGAUAAGCCCGGGAAACUGGGUCUAAUACCGGAUACGACCAAUCUCCGCAUGGGGUGUUGGUGGAAAGCGUUAUGUAGUGGUUAUAGAUGGGCUCACGGCCUAUCAGCUUGUUGGUGAGGUAACGGCUCACCAAGGCGACGACGGGUAGCCGGCCUGAGAGGGUGACCGGCCACACUGGGACUGAGACACGGCCCAGACUCCUACGGGAGGCAGCAGUGGGGAAUAUUGCACAAUGGGCGCAAGCCUGAUGCAGCGACGCCGCGUGAGGGAUGACGGCCUUCGGGUUGUAAACCUCUGUUAGCAGGGAAGAAGAGAGAUUGACGGUACCUGCAGAGAAAGCGCCGGCUAACUACGUGCCAGCAGCCGCGGUAAUACGUAGGGCGCGAGCGUUGUCCGGAAUUAUUGGGCGUAAAGAGCUUGUAGGCGGUUUGUCGCGUCUGCUGUGAAAGGCCGGGGCUUAACUCCUGUAUUGCAGUGGGUACGGGCAGACUAGAGUGCAGUAGGGGAGACUGGAAUUCCUGGUGUAGCGGUGGAAUGCGCAGAUAUCAGGAGGAACACCGAUGGCGAAGGCAGGUCUCUGGGCUGUAACUGACGCUGAGAAGCGAAAGCAUGGGGAGCGAACAGGAUUAGAUACCCUGGUAGUCCAUGCCGUAAACGUUGGGCACUAGGUGUGGGGGACAUUCCACGUUUUCCGCGCCGUAGCUAACGCAUUAAGUGCCCCGCCUGGGGAGUACGGCCGCAAGGCUAAAACUCAAAGAAAUUGACGGGGGCCCGCACAAGCGGCGGAGCAUGCGGAUUAAUUCGAUGCAACGCGAAGAACCUUACCAAGGCUUGACAUAUACUGGACCGCUCAGAGAUGGUGUUUCCCUUCGGGGCUGGUAUACAGGUGGUGCAUGGUUGUCGUCAGCUCGUGUCGUGAGAUGUUGGGUUAAGUCCCGCAACGAGCGCAACCCUCGUUCUAUGUUGCCAGCACGUUAUGGUGGGGACUCAUAGGAGACUGCCGGGGUCAACUCGGAGGAAGGUGGGGAUGACGUCAAAUCAUCAUGCCCUUAUGUCUUGGGCUUCACGCAUGCUACAAUGGCCGGUACAGAGGGUUGCGAUACUGUGAGGUGGAGCUAAUCCCUAAAAGCCGGUCUCAGUUCGGAUUGGGGUCUGCAACUCGACCCCAUGAAGUCGGAGUCGCUAGUAAUCGCAGAUCAGCAACGCUGCGGUGAAUACGUUCCCGGGCCUUGUACAC